CCGCCCUACAGUAAUAACAUGACCUCACGUUGAUGAGCAUAUACACAAAUAUGAAGGCGGGCUGGAACCUCUCGGGGUUACAGCCUUGCUGAAUUAUUCACCCUUGUCUUUUGCGUACUUCUUGUUUCCUUGGUGGGUUCGCCCACCACUAGGACAAACAUAAACCUUUUGUAAUUGCAAUCAGCGUCAGUAACAAAUUAAUAAUUACAACUUUCAACAACGGAUCUCUUGGUUCUGGCAUCGAUGAAGAACGCAGCGAAAUGCGAUAAGUAGUGUGAAUUGCAGAAUUCAGUGAAUCAUCGAAUCUUUGAACGCACAUUGCGCCCUUUGGUAUUCCAAAGGGCAUGCCUGUUCGAGCGUCAUUUGUACCCUCAAGCUUUGCUUGGUGUUGGGCGUCUUGUCUCUAGCUUUGCUGGAGACUCGCCUUAAAGUAAUUGGCAGCCGGCCUACUGGUUUCGGAGCGCAGCACAAGUCGCACUCUCUAUCAGCAAAGGUCUAGCAUCCAUUAAGCCUUUUUUUCAACUUUUGACCUCGGAUCAGGUAGGGAUACCCGCUG
rnacentral:rRNA from 1 species